AUUGCUUCUCGGCCUUUUGGCUAAGAUCAAGUGUAAUAUCUCUUCUUAUCAAUUUAAUUUUAUAUUGAUUUAGAGAAAUCAUUUAUGUUGAGCUUUAUGUUUCUAUGUAGCUCAAUAAUAACCCUCUGACAUAUGCUUCACUGUAAUAGUUUGGAAACUCUG
rnacentral:snRNA from 1 species